rnacentral:rRNA from 1 species
GAUGAACGCUGGCGGCGUGCCUAAUACAUGCAAGUCGAGCGAACAGACGAGGAGCUUGCUCCUCUGACGUUAGCGGCGGACGGGUGAGUAACACGUGUAUAACCUACCUAUAAGACUGGGAUAACUUCGGGAAACCGGAUCUAAUACCGGAUAAUAUAUUUAACCGCAUGGUUCAAUAGUGAAAUACGGUUUUUCUGUCACUUUUAGAUGGUUCCGCGCCGCAUUAGCUAGUUGGUAAGGUAACGGCUUACCAAGGCAACGAUGCGUAGCCGACCUGAGAGGGUGAUCGGCCACACUGGAACUGAGACACGGACCAGAGUCCUACGGGAGGCAGCAGUAGGGAAUCUUCCGCAAUGGGCGAAAGCCUGACGGAGCAAAGCCGCGUGAGUGAUGAAGGUCUUCGGAUCGUAAAACUCUGUUAUUAGGGAAGAACAAAUGUGUAAGUAACUAUGCACGUCUUGACGGUACCUAAUCAGAAAGCCACGGCUAACUACGUG